rnacentral:rRNA from 1 species
CCUACGGGAGGCAGCAGUGGGGAAUUUUGGACAAUGGGCGAAAGCCUGAUCCAGCCAUUCCGCGUGAGUGAAGAAGGCCUUCGGGUUGUAAAGCUCUUUCGCAAGGGAAGAAAACUUAUAUUCUAAUAAAGUAUGAGGAUGACGGUACCUUGAUAAGAAGCACCGGCUAACUACGUGCCAGCAGCCGCGGUAAUACGUAGGGUGCGAGCGUUAAUCGGAAUUACUGGGCGUAAAGCGUGCGCAGGCGGUUUUGAAAGUCAGAUGUGAAAUCCCCGAGCUCAACUUGGGAACUGCGUUUGAAACUCCAAAGCUAGAGUAUAGGAGAGGGGGGUAGAAUUCCACGUGUAGCAGUGAAAUGCGUAGAGAUGUGGAGGAAUACCAAUGGCGAAGGCAGCCCCCUGGCCUAAUACUGACGCUCAUGCACGAAAGCGUGGGGAGCAAACAGGAUUAGAUACCCUGGUAGUCCACGCCCUAAACGAUGUCUACUAGUUGUUGGUGGAGUAAAAUCCAUUAGUAACGCAGCUAACGCGUGAAGUAGACCGCCUGGGGAGUACGGUCGCAAGAUUAAAACUUCAAAAGGAAUUGAGGCNGAGACGNGCGACGGACGACGACGAGGGAGGAGG